GUGCUCACUUUGGCAGCACAUACACCAAAAUUGGAAUGAUAUAGAGAAGAUAAUAGGCAUGGCCCCUGCACAAGGAUAACACGCAAAUUCAUGAAGCGUUCCACAUUAAG